UACAGAGGGUGCAAGCGUUGUUCGGAAUUAUUGGGCGUAAAGCGCGUGUAGGCGGCAUAGCAAGUCGGGUGUGAAAGCCCUCAGCUCAACUGAGGAAGUGCGCCCGAAACUGCUGUGCUUGAGUGCCGGAGAGGAUGGCGGAAUUCCCCAAGCAGAGGUGAAAUUCGUAGAUAUGGGGAGGAACACCGGUGGCGAAGGCGGCCAUCUGGACGGUAACUGACGCUGAGACGCGAAAGCGUGGGUAGCAAACAGG
rnacentral:rRNA from 1 species